rnacentral:rRNA from 1 species
GAUGAACGCUGGCGGCGUGCCUAAUACAUGCAAGUCGAGCGAACGGACGAGAAGCUUGCUUUUCUGAUGUUAGCGGCGGACGGGUGAGUAACACGUGGAUAACCUACCUAUAAGACUGGGAUAACUUCGGGAACCGGAGCUAAUACCGGAUAAUAUUUUGAACCGCAUGGUUCAAAAGUGAAAGACGGUCUUGCCGUCACUUAUAGAUGGAUCCGCGCUGCAUUAGCUAGUUGGUAAGGUAACGGCUUACCAAGGCAACGAUGCAUAGCCGACCUGAGAGGGUGAUCGGCCACACUGGAACUGAGACACGGUCCAGACUCCUACGGGAGGCAGCAGUAGGGAAUCUUCCGCAAUGGGCGAAAGCCUGACGGAGCAACGCCGCGUGAGUGAUGAAGGUCUUCGGAUCGUAAAACUCUGUUAUUAGGGAAGAACAUAUGUGUAAGUAACUGUGCACAUCUUGACGGUACCUAAUCAGAAAGCCACGGCUAACUACGUG